UGGGGAAUAUUGGGCAAUGGGCGCAAGCCUGACCCAGCAACGCCGCGUGAGGGAAGAAGGUCUUCGGAUUGUAAACCUCUGUCCUUGGGGACGAAAAAAAUGACGGUACCCAAGGAGGAAGCUCCGGCUAACUACGUGCCAGCAGCCGCGGUAAUACGUAGGGGGCGAGCGUUGUCCGGAAUUACUGGGCGUAAAGGGUGCGUAGGCGGCUUGGUAAGUCAGAGGUGAAAUCCCCGGGCUUAACGCGGGAAUUGCAUUUGAUACUGCUAGGCUUGAGUGCAGGAGAGGAAAGCGGAAUUCCUAGUGUAGCGGUGAAAUGCGUAGAUAUUAGGAGGAACACCAGUGGCGAAGGCGGCUUUCUGGACUGUAACUGACGCUGAGGCACGAAAGCGUGGGGAGCAAACA
rnacentral:rRNA from 1 species